rnacentral:rRNA from 1 species
GUAGGGAAUAUUGCACAAUGGGGGAAACCCUGAUGCAGCGACGCCGCGUGAGUGAUGAAGGCCUUCGGGUCGUAAAGCUCUGUCGUAUGGGACUAACACAAUGAAGGUACCAUGCAAGAAAGGAUCGGCUAACUUCGUGCCAGCAGCCGCGGUAAGACGAGGGAUCCUAGCGUUGUUCGGAAUCAUUGGGCGUAAAGCGGGUGUAGGCGGAUUUAUAAGUCAGGUGUGAAAUCCCAGGGCUCAACCCUGGAAGUGCACUUGAUACUGUAAAUCUUGAGUGUGGUAGAGGUUACUGGAAUUGUUGGUGUAGUGGUGAAAUACGUAGAUAUCAACAGGAAUACCGGAGGCGAAGGCGAGUAACUGGGCCAACACUGACGCUGAGACCCGAAAGCGUGGGGAUCAAACAGGAUUAGAAACCCUGGUAGUCC